AUUUCUCGUUGUCUCCAUCCGCAUCUGCACUCGCAUCCCCAUCUGCAAGUGCAGAUGAGGAUCAGAGCUAACGAGAAAU